CUACGGGAGGCUCCAGUGAGGAAUUUUGCGCAAUGGGGGAAACCCUGACGCAGCAACGCCGCGUGAGUGAAGAAGGCUUUCGGGUCGUAAAGCUCUGUCAGAUAGGAAAAAAGUUCAUAUGUAAAUAGCUUAUGAAUCUGAUGGUACUAUCAGAGGAAGCACCGGCUAACUCCGUGCCAGCAGCCGCGGUAAUACGGAGGGUGCAAGCGUUGUUCGGAAUUACUGGGCGUAAAGGGCGUGUAGGCGGUAUGGUAAGUCAGAUGUGAAAGCCCUGGGCUUAACUCAGGAAGUGCAUUUGAUACUGCCAUCCUUGAGUAUGGGAGAGGAGAGUAGAAUUCCCAGUGUAGAGGUGAAAUUCGUAGAUAUUGGGAGGAAUACCCGUGGCGAAGGCGACUCUCUGGACCAAUACUGACGCUGAGACGCGAAAGCGUGGGGAGCAAACAGGAUUAGAUACCCGGGUAGUC
rnacentral:rRNA from 1 species